rnacentral:rRNA from 1 species
GGCGGACGGGUGAGUAAUGCCUAGGAAUCUGCCUGGUAGUGGGGGACAACGUUUCGAAAGGAACGCUAAUACCGCAUACGUCCUACGGGAGAAAGCAGGGGACCUUCGGGCCUUGCGCUAUCAGAUGAGCCUAGGUCGGAUUAGCUAGUUGGUGGGGUAAUGGCUCACCAAGGCGACGAUCCGUAACUGGUCUGAGAGGAUGAUCAGUCACACUGGAACUGAGACACGGUCCAGACUCCUACGGGAGGCAGCAGUGGGGAAUAUUGGACAAUGGGCGAAAGCCUGAUCCAGCCAUGCCGCGUGUGUGAAGAAGGUCUUCGGAUUGUAAAGCACUUUAAGUUGGGAGGAAGGGCAGUAAGCUAAUACCUUGCUGUUUUGACGUUACCGACAGAAUAAGCACCGGCUAACUCUGUGCCAGCAGCCGCGGUAAUACAGAGGGUGCAAGCGUUAAUCGGAAUUACUGGGCGUAAAGCGCGCGUAGGUGGUUUGUUAAGUUGGAUGUGAAAGCCCCGGGCUCAACCUGGGAACUGCAUCCAAAACUGGCAAGCUAGAGUACGGUAGAGGGUGGUGGAAUUUCCUGUGUAGCGGUGAAAUGCGUAGAUAUAGGAAGGAACACCAGUGGCGAAGGCGACCACCUGGAC